AGAGACAGCAGCAGCCGCGGUAAUACGAAGGGUGCAAGCGUUACUCGGAAUUACUGGGCGUAAAGCGUGCGUAGGUGGUGGUUUAAGUCCGUUGUGAAAGCCCUGGGCUCAACCUGGGAAUUGCAGUGGAUACUGGGUCACUAGAGUGUGGUAGAGGAUAGUGGAAUUUCCGGUGUAGCAGUGAAAUGCGUAGAGAUCGGAAGGAACAUCUGUGGCGAAGGCGACUAUCUGGGCCAACACUGACACUGAGGCACGAAAGCGUGGGGAGCAAACAGGAUUAGAUACCCCCGUAGUCCCUGUCUCUUAUAC
rnacentral:rRNA from 1 species